rnacentral:rRNA from 1 species
UAAUACAGAGGGUGCGAGCGUUAAUCGGAAUUACUGGGCGUAAAGGGCGCGUAGGCGGAAAGAUGUGUGUGAUGUGAAAGCCCCGGGCUUAACCUGGGAAGUGCAUCGCAAACUGUCUAACUAGAGUAUAUGAGAGGGUGGCGGAAUUUCCGGUGUAGCGGUGAAAUGCGUAGAUAUCGGAAGGAACGUCGAUGGCGAAGGCAGCCACCUGGCAUAAUACUGACGCUGAGGCGCGAAAGCGUGGGGAGCGAACAGGAUUAGAUACCCUGGUAGUCCACGCUGUAAACGAUGAGGACUAAAUGUUGUUUGGGGAACCAAGCAGUAUUGAAGCAAACGCGAUAAGUCUUCCGCCUGGGAAGUACGGCCGCAAGGUUG